ACCCGUUGAUCCUGCGGGAGGUUGCUGCUAUUGGAGUUCGACUAAGCCAUGCAAGUCAGAGGGAUUCUUCGGAAUCACAGGCAGAAUGCUCAGUAACACGUCGAUAAUUUAACCUUGAGUCUGGGAUAACCUUGGGAAACUGAGGCUAAAACCGGAUAGGGAAAUAUAAUUGGAAAAUGUUUUUCCUUAAAAGCAAUGCUCAAGGAUAAGUCGGCGGUGGAUUAGGUUGUUGGCGGGGUAAAGGCCCACCAAGCCGAAGAUCCAUAUGGGCCGUGAAAGCGGUAGCCCAGAGAGGGACACUGAGAUACUGGUCCCAGCCCUACGGGGUGCAGCAGGCGCGAAACCUUUACAAUGCACGCAAGUGUGAUAAGGGAACUCCAAGUGCUUAUACUUUGUAUAGGCUUUUGCCAAAGGUAAAUACUUUGGCGAAUAAGUGGUGGGUAAGACGGGUGCCAGCCGCCGCGGUAACACCUGCGCCACGAGUGGGAACCACGAUUAUUUGGCCUAAAGCGUCCGUAGCCGGUCUUAUAAAUUUCCUGUGAAAUUGAUAAGCUUAACUUAUCAGCGUGCAGGAAAGACUGUAAGACUUGGAACUAGGAGGAGUCAGAAGAAUGUUUAGGGGAGCGGUAAAAUGCUAUAAUCCUAGAUAGACUACCUGUGGCGAAGGCGUCUGACUAGAAUAGAUUCGACGGUGAGGGACGAAAGCUAGGGGAGCGAUCCGGAUUAGAUACCCGAGUAGUCCUAGCUGUAAACGCUGCGAGCUAGGUGUUGCACAUUCCACGAGAAUGUGCAGUGUCGAAGCGAAGGUGUUAAGCUCGCCGCCUGGGAAGUAUGGUCGCAAGACUGAAACUUAAAGGAAUUGGCGGGGGAGCACCACAAGGGGUGCGGCGUGCGGUUUAAUCUAACUCAACGCAGAAAAUCUCACCAGCAGCGACGGCAGGAUGAAAGUCAAGCUGAAGACUUUACUUGACGAGCCGAGAGGUAGUGCAUGGCCGCCGUCAGCUCGUGCCGUAAGGUGUCCUGUUAAGUCAGGCAACGAGCGAGACCUGUGCCUACAAUUGCUAACGGGUUCUUUUGAAUGACUGAGCACAUUGUAGGAACUGCCCUGGAAACAGGGAGGAAGGUGCAGGCAACGGUAGGUCUGUAUGCUCCGAAUCUGCUGGGCUACACGCGCGCAACAAUGGCCGAGACAAUGGGACACAACUCCGAAAGGAGAAGUUAAUCCUCUAAACUCGGUCCUAGUUUAGAUUGAGGGUUGCAACUCACCCUCAUGACAAUGGAAUCCCUAGUAAUCGGGCCUCAUUACAGCCCGGUGAAUAUGUCCCUGCUCCUUGCACACACCGCCCGUCAAACCACCCGAGUAGGGUUUAGGUGAGGCCAAGUUUUGAAUUUGGUCGAAUCUAAGCUCAGCGAGGAGGGUUAAGUCGUCACAAGGUA
rnacentral:rRNA from 1 species